GACGGAGGGGGCUAGCGUUGUUCGGAAUGACUGGGCGUAAAGGGCGCGUAGGCGGUUUUUUAAGUGAGGCGUGAAAGCCCUGGGCUUAACCCAGGAGGUGCGUUUCAUACUGGAAGACUUGAGUACGAGAGAGGAAAGCGGAAUUCCUAGUGUAGAGGUGAAAUUCGUAGAUAUUAGGAAGAACACCAGUGGCGAAGGCGCUUUCUGGCUCGUAACUGACGCUGAGGCGCGAAAGCGUGGGGAGCAAACAGG
rnacentral:rRNA from 1 species